AGAUGGCGACCGGCGCACGGGUGAGUAACACGUAUCCAACCUGCCGAUAACUCGGGGAUAGCCUUUAAAAAGAAAGAUUAAUACCCGAUGGUAUAAUCAGACCGCAUGGUUUGAUUAUUAAAGAAUUUCGGUUAUCGAUGGGGAUGCGUUCCAUUAGGCAGUUGGUGAGGUAACGGCUCACCAAACCUUCGAUGGAUAGGGGUUCUGAGAGGAAGGUCCCCCACAUUGGAACUGAGACACGGUCCAA
rnacentral:rRNA from 1 species